UACAGAGGGGGCAAGCGUUGUUCGGAAUUACUGGGCGUAAAGGGCGCGUAGGCGGCCUGCUAAGUCGAACGUGAAAUCCCUCAGCUUAACUGGGGAACUGCGUCCGAUACUGGAUGGCUUGGAUUUGGGAGAGGGAUGCGGAAUUCCAGGUGUAGCGGUGAAAUGCGUAGAUAUCUGGAGGAACACCGGUGGCGAAGGCGGCAUCCUGGACCAAUAUUGACGCUGAGGAGCGAAAGCCAGGGGAGCAAACGGG
rnacentral:rRNA from 1 species